UUUAUUCCAUAAUGAAUGAAUUGGCGGAAGAGUUCUUUAAAGACAAUAUUCGUGACCCAAGACUGACGAAUCCU
rnacentral:snoRNA from 15 species